ACACUCCUAGGGAGGCAGCAGUGGGGAAUUUUGGACAAUGGGCGAAAGCCUGAUCCAGCAAUGCCGCGUGCAGGAUGAAGGCCUUCGGGUUGUAAACUGCUUUUGUACGGAACGAAAAAGCUCCUUCUAAUACAGGGGGCCCAUGACGGUACCGUAAGAAUAAGCACCGGCUAACUACGUGCCAGCAGCCGCGGUAAUACGUAGGGUGCGAGCGUUAAUCGGAAUUACUGGGCGUAAAGCGUGCGCAGGCGGUUAUGUAAGACAGAUGUGAAAUCCCCGGGCUCAACCUGGGAACUGCAUUUGUGACUGCAUGGCUAGAGUACGGUAGAGGGGGAUGGAAUUCCGCGUGUAGCAGUGAAAUGCGUAGAUAUGCGGAGGAACACCGAUGGCGAAGGCAAUCCCCUGGACCUGUACUGACGCUCAUGCACGAAAGCGUGGGGAGCAAACAGGAUUAGAUACCCCUGUAGUCCCAUG
rnacentral:rRNA from 1 species